rnacentral:lncRNA from 1 species
GUAAACCCGAAGGACGGUCCUAUCGGGUGAGUUCCUGCGAUGAUGGACUUAAUGUGAAGCAAGCUAAUGUGGCGAAACCCCCGGGUUAGCCUUGAGAUUAAAGAACAAAGAGCAAAGAACAAAGAGCUAAGAAUAAAGAAUAAAGAAUAAAGAGUAAAGUCAAAGAACAAAAGAAUUUGCAUAAUCUGCAUAUGUUAAUGUUGAGCAUAUUUCUUGCUAUUUGUUCAGGCAUAUUAGCAUCAUGUUAUAGAUUGGUUACUAUAUCCUGCUUAUCUUUUCUAUUAUGCCUGAGUUAGUCCUAGUGGGAAAGUCGGUGAUGUUGGGGCCGAACCCACUGGGAACUUCGUUGUAGUUCUCACCCCACUAUUCCACAGAGCCGGGACCAAGCGAGCCGGCGAGCGACCGCGGUAAAGGUAUCGCACCGUAGUCAGAGGCCACCAGAGUUGGGUUACAUUUUGUUAGUAGCUACCCUUUUAUCAUCUUUUGUAUUUGAUGAUUCAAGAUGUUAAUGUAUAAAGCAAAG